rnacentral:sRNA from 1 species
UUCAACUUUAUGAUUGGACGAUGAUGAUUGAUUUCUGAGUUUGCGAGCACUGAACUUACAUAGAAAUGUGUUUAUUGGAAUAAUAGGUGAGGAAGGUAGAGAUGUUGGAUGGUGUAACCAUUGUUCGAUCUGAGAAGGUGAAGGAUGAGAUUGUUCUUGACGGUAACGACAUCGAGCUUGUUUCAAGGUCAUGCGCUUUGAUCAACCAGGUA